rnacentral:rRNA from 1 species
GUGGGGAAUUUUGGACAAUGGGCGAAAGCCUGAUCCAGCCAUGCCGCGUGCAGGAUGAAGGCCUUCGGGUUGUAAACUGCUUUUGUACGGAACGAAAAGACUCUGGUUAAUACCUGGGGUCCAUGACGGUACCGUAAGAAUAAGCACCGGCUAACUACGUGCCAGCAGCCGCGGUAAUACGUAGGGUGCAAGCGUUAAUCGGAAUUACUGGGCGUAAAGCGUGCGCAGGCGGUUAUAUAAGACAGAUGUGAAAUCCCCGGGCUCAACCUGGGAACUGCAUUUGUGACUGUAUAGCUAGAGUACGGCAGAGGGGGAUGGAAUUCCGCGUGUAGCAGUGAAAUGCGUAGAUAUGCGGAGGAACACCAAUGGCGAAGGCAAUCCCCUGGGCCUGUACUGACGCUCAUGCACGAAAGCGUGGGGAGCAAACAGGAUUAGAAACCCGGGUAGUCC